CCCAAAAAUUUUUUAGAGCUUCAAAACAUUGUCCGCAUUUGGCCCAAGCCCAAUAACUCGCCAACUCUCCAUCAGUCCAUCUCCCUCAGCCGGUCAGCCCAAACCCUUCCAGUCCCAGACUCCCGUUCGUUCCCCUCCCCGCGACCCCGACCCUGUGCCCCGCCGCCACCCGCGCCCAGCGCCCGCAGGCCGCCGCCGCCCGCCACUCCCCGCCCCCCGACCCCCGUCCCCCGGUCUCAUCCCGCCGGCGCCGUGCCUGGGCUGGGCACACGGCCGUGCGGGCGUGCGGUGUGCCUCCGCCUCGCGCCGCGGCCGCCUCGUCGUUACGCGCCGCGCCUUUCGCCGCCGCAGCGCCAGUGGGGUCCGCUGGUCUCGGAUCUGCCUGAGGCAAGGCUAGCGCGCUCAGAGAUUUGCUGGCAUUGGAGCGGCUUUGCCGUUUCGGCAGCGGCGGGGAGAUAGCUCGUUGCUGCGGCGGGGCGACCAGGUCCGUGCGGGGAAUUUGGCUUCGCGGCGGGCGGCGGCAUCCAAACCCAGCAGAUAAGACCGUAAGAAUUUAAGUUCUCAGUUCUCACUAAUUGGUUCCAAAAUGCUGCUUCAGUAUGCGUAUACAGAACAAAGAGUUCAAGUGGAUUUGUCUUCAGAGGUCUGUACUUUUCCAAAGAAAAAUCAUAGGUCAUAUGAUACAAAUAUUUGGCUACCAGGACAUAGGGAUUCUCUUUCGAAGGUAGAAGUGGUUGGCCAUAAAGUAAAAACUAGAAACUAAUGAUCUUGCAGAGGUUUUCUGCAUUAAUAAUUGAACUUUCCUUCAAGUUUUAUCCA